UGGGGAAUAUUGGGCAAGUGGGGGAACCCUGACCCAGCAACGCCACGUGAAGGAAGAAGGUUUUCGGAUUGUAAACUUCUGUCCUAUGAGACGAAGGAAGUGACGGUAUCAUAGGAGGAAGCCCCGGCUAACUACGUGCCAGCAGCCGCGGUAAUACGUAGGGGGCGAGCGUUGUCCGGAAUGAUUGGGCGUAAAGGGCGCGUAGGCGGCCUGGUAAGUCUGGAGUGAAAGUCCUGCUUUCAAGGUGGGAAUUGCUUUGGAUACUGUCGGGCUGGAGUGCAGGGGAGGUAAGCGGAAUUCCCGGUGUAGCGGUGAAAUGCGUAGAGAUCGGGAGGAACACCAGUGGCGAAGGCGGCUUACUGGACUGUAACUGACGCUGAGGCGCGAAAGCGUGGGGAGCAAACAGGAUUAGAUACCCUGGUAGU
rnacentral:rRNA from 1 species